GCCAGCAGCUAUAUCACCCUGCAAAACUCACAACUGGCAACCCACUGAAGCUAAGCAGUAGUGGGCCUGGCCAGUACCUGGAUGGGAGACCUCCUGGGAAAGCUAAGGGUUGUUGCUGGAA
rnacentral:rRNA from 1 species